AAAAUGCCAUUUUUGAGGUAAAUUCCUCCAUUUUGGGUCCAAAAAUGCCAUUUUUGAGGUCAUUCGUUCCCAUUUUUGGUGCUGGAAUCCAUUUUAGGCCCCAAAAAUGCCAUUUUUGAGGUAAAUUCCUCCAUUUUUGGGUCAAAAAAUGCCAUUUUGGGGGGUCAUUUUGCCCCUUUUUGGUGCUGGAAUCCAUUUUAGGCCCCAAAAUGCCAUUUUUGAGGUAAAUUCCUCCAUUUUGGGUCCAAAAAUGCCAUUUUUGGGGUCAUUCGUUCCCAUUUUUGGGGGUGAAUUCCUCCAUUUUGGUUCUGAAAAAUGCCAUUUUUGGGUCAUUCGUUCCCAUUUUUUUCGCACCAAACCCCAUUUUGAGUCCAAAAAUGCCAUUUUUGGGCAUAAAUCCCUCCAUUUUGGGUCCAAAAAUGCCAUUUUUGGGUCAUUUGUUCCCAUUUUUUCCGCACCAAAACCCAUUUUGGGUCCAAAAAUGGCACUUCGGGGUCAUUCGGUCCCAUUUUUGGGGUGAAUUCC
ensembl:lncRNA